CCGGGCUUGAAUUGCAAAUGAAUGACGUGGAGACAUGUCAGCCGCAAGGCAUUUGUGAAGGUGCUGCAUGGUUGUCGUCAGCUCGUGUCGUGAGAUGUUGGGUUAAGUCCCGCAACGAGCGCAACCCCUGUGCUUAGUAGCCAGCAGUAAGAUGGGCACUCUAGGGAGACUGCCGGGGAUAACUCGGAGGAAGGUGGGGACGACGUCAAAUCAUCAUGCCCCUUAUGACUUGGGCUACACACGUGCUACAAUGGCGUAAACAAAGGGAAGCAGCCCUGUGAAGGUGAGCGAAUCCCAAAAAUAACGUCUCAGUUCGGAUUGUAGUCUGCAACUCGACUACAUGAAGCUGGAAUCGCUAGUAAUCGCGAAUCAGAAUGUCGCGGUGAAUACGUUCCGC
rnacentral:rRNA from 1 species